rnacentral:rRNA from 1 species
CGUGUAGGCGGCUCAUCAAGUCUGGUGUGAAAAACGCAAGGCUUAACCUUGCAUAGGCGCUGGAAACUGGUGGGCUUGAGUUCCUGAGGGGAAGCUGGAAUUCCAGGUGUAGGGGUGAAAUCUGUAGAUAUCUGGAAGAACACCGGUGGCGAAGGCGAGCUUCUAUCAGAGGACUGACGCUGAGGCGCGAAAGCGUGGGGAGCAAACAGGAUUAGAUACCCUGGUAGUCCACGCUGUAAACGAUGUGCACUAGGCGUGGGGCCCGUACGGGUUCUGUGCCGUAGUUAACGUGUUAAGUGCACCGCCUGGGGAGUAUGCUCGCAAGGGUGAA